AGUGAACGCUGGCGGCAGGCCUAACACAUGCAAGUCGAGCGGCAGCGGGUCCCCGCGAGGGGAUGCCGGCGAGCGGCGGACGAGUGAGGAACACAUCGGAAUCUGCCUGGUUGUGGGGGAUAACGUAGGGAAACUUACGCUAAUACCGCAUGCGACCCUGAGUCGACGGACUUGGGGUGAAAGUGAGGGACCUUCGGGCCUCACGCGACCAGAUGAGCCGAUGUCGGAUUAGCUAGUUGGCGGGGUAACGGCCCGCCAAGGCGACGAUCCGUAGCUGGUCUGAGAGGAUGAUCAGCCACACUGGGACUGAGACACGGCCCAGACUCCUACGGAGGCAGCAGUGGGGAAUCUUGACAAUGGCGCAAGCCUGAUCCAGCCAUGCCGCGU
rnacentral:rRNA from 1 species